UGUUUUCAUACAUAUAGUUAGAAAAGAGUGAGGUGUGGACAUGUGUGAAUUUGUGUGAACUAGUGUGGUCAUGUAUGGACUAGCUGUUUUUCCAGUACUUCCACAGCUUGGUAUGUCUCCCUCUAUUAUCUUUUCGUCUUUCUCUUUCCCUUCACGGCCCCCAUUCUUGUCGUUUCUUCUUUGUACCUCCCCGAAGAGGAACAACAAAUUUCACUGAAAAGGUUUCAAAUCAAAGAAACCCCAAUUCUGUUUCUAAAUCAUAGACUGAUGCUAUGAACUCCCAACCUGGUUAUCGUCGUAUUUGGAAGUUCUAAAAGAUUGAUUUAUACUCUCUAACUGUUGAUUUGCAGGUGCCAAAAAUUUAUUAUUGAAUACUUUCUUUAUUUCUUACAUUAAAAUUUCUUGGAAUUUGAAUAUUUAGUUAAUCUUAAGGGGUUAGUUUUCAGUUCACCUGAUCUUCUUCCUUCAUGUUGUUUGGAAUUAUUUAUUUCAGUGUUCGAUUUAUAUUUUUGUCACUUUCUAUGACUUUUCUCUGUUUCUCCAUGUAUUCACCCCUCUUCCCAAAAGGUUAGUUUUUCUUUCUCUUCUCUUCUCCAUCUGGGUGUCUACGUGUUUCUUUUUGCUUUUUUUUCUUAAGAGUUUGUGUUGAAUUCAUUUCAUGUGUAUUUUUUCUCCUUUUUUCUUUUCAGUAAAAGGUUGAAUCGAUGUCAGGUGUAUAGAUUUGCUUGUUGUAUGUAGGUAUUUUUUUUAUUUCUAUAAACCUCGCAAGAGACUUUGCUGGGCAUUGAUAAGCAUAUUAGGAUUUUCGAUAUGGAAAUCGAGUUUUACGUUCUGGGUAUCAUCAAAAUUCAACAAAGCUCAGAAGAAUUGUGCAUUACAGGUUUCAAGUAGAGAUUCUUACACUAAAUUUUCUCGCAGGGUAAGUUGUACAGUUUCUCGAUUGUGAUCUCAAUUAUUGGAAAAGAAAUUACAUUCUUUAACUGUGCUUCAUUCUUUUUAUAAUUUGAUUCUGGGAAUUAAAUUUAUUUUCUUGUAGUUUCUCGAAGGAUCUAAGUCGGUAGUAAAAUGAUCUUCAGGAAGUAAUUUAGCAAAUCCUUGUUCAUCUACAAGAAAUUGUAAAAUAUUUAUCCCUUAAAAUACACCGGAGAUAAAACUAUAGUACUAUCGGAAACUUGUCAAGUGCAUAGAAAAUGCACCAUAGAAAUUUAAAUUUGACGAAAUAAUAAUUAUCAUCACUUCAACUAUAAUAACUGAUCGUGUGAGAGCAUAAUAGCGAAAGGGAAUAAAGGAAAUAAUCGAAAAGGAGUUUAUGUCUAAGGACUGGUUUUGAAGAUAUAAUUUAUAGUAGUGCGAGAUAAUAUCACUACAACAAAAAUGGCCUAAGGUCACACCAAUUUUAGACAACGCUUGAAAAGUGUUGCCAAAAAUAUCUACAGGACGUUUUUUAAGGGGUGGCCUUUAUCGAGCACUUUUGGCCACGGAAUUCUAGCAACGCUUACAAAGUGUUCUUUUUUAUUUUAAAGGCUACGCUUUUCACGUGUUGCCGAUCCAUUAAAUUAAGGCAACGUUUAGUCACAUGUAAUGUAACCCUUUAAGGGAGUGGUUGUUUAUAUUUGCAAUUGCGAUCCUCCAUAAACGUGCUCUAAAGUCCUCUAAAAUUUCCCGUUCAGAUUUCCCUCUAUUUGUUUUUGGCAAAAAGUUACGCUCUAAAAUACUCUAAUUAAAAUAUGCCUGUCAAAUUUACCCACACAACAAGAAGAUCUCGUCCUUCUUCCCUAAGAUCUGGCUCUUCUUGUACCUCUCUGUUCAUUGAGUGACGCGGGGUGAGUUCGGAGGAAAUCGUUGAUGGAAGCGAUAAAAUUCUUCUAAUUUCUCUUCUCAAAUUUCAAAACUUUCUCUUCGUCUGGUUCUGUGGCUAGCAGUUUCAAUUGGGGAUUUCGUUUUUUUAGGGUUUGCAGCCGCUGUUGACCUCCAUUUUUCAAAGACUUACUUCAGUCUAUAUCAGCUAAUUUCAGAGUAGUUCAAUGUUUCGAGACUCGGCUGCAUAUAUUGGAGGCUUAGCACGUGAAUUCCUAAUUUUACACCUCGGGAGUAACUUGUUUGAUAAAUUUUCUCCUACCAAUCUACCAGAUUCUAAAGUUUGCCAUCUCAAAAUUUCUCUUCUCUCAGGAUCUUUCAGUUCUCACAGGUGAGUUUCGUGUUGUUCUUGAGCGCCACAAACUUUUACUAUUCCAAACAUGUUCAUAUUUAAUUUGCAAUUGCUGCUACCAACAUUUUAUUAUCCAUGUUGUCAUAAUAUAUGCCAAGCCUUCAGUAAGGUGCCUAUGAUAUGUAAAUAAAACCCGCAAACUUAGAUAGUCCUCCAAAUAAACUUUUCUUGAGAGGUGAAAGGAGUAUUUAGCCCUUACAGGCUGUACUUAAAUUUUUUCUCUAAAAUAACAUGGACUACAAGUAUAUUAUUGACCUUUUCUUGGUUGGCAUAAACAACAAUAUAGUGUACGACCAGAUAUUUUAAUGUGUAGUCCCACCAAAUAUGUCUAAGAUUGUAGCUAAAUUAAAACAAUGACUAAAGAUGCUCAAUAUCAAAUUAGACUAAUAGAAGUUUUUGAGUGAGCUUU